rnacentral:lncRNA from 1 species
AGACCUAUGAAGGUCGAAGGGGAAGAAAAGCUGUAUCGAUUGUUGAGAUCUGGCGACUUGUUUAAAUUUCAUCAGCCUCACUUCUAUGAACUCUCAGAGCUGAUUACCAACUCCUACCACUGUUAACCCUCAUCCAGGAACAAGCUUAUGUCUUUAACAUUCUGAGUGGGCUUCAGCAUCCUUGCAUAUGUUCAAUUCUUAAAAACCUGUUGAAAUAAAAGAUCAGGAGACAUAGGAAGGAUGCCAGAAGAGAGCGUGGCCUCACGUGUACCAGCUCUCUGCUCUCCUUUGCCUUGGGACGUUCCAUCCCUGGAAGUUUCCCUGCCCACAUCUUUGUAGAGAGUCCAUUCUCCAAGCUUCAGUGUGUCAUCUGUGAGGACCGUGACCCACCUGGUACAUCGCCUCAGGGCAUUCAUUUCAGGCUCCUUCUAAAUGGCCAAGUUUUCAAGAUUGUUUUGGCUCUAGCAAAACAAGUUGGAACAUUCACAUCAUCCAAGCUGCAGCAAGCUGUUCGUCAGAGUCAUCUUUGGUGACUAUCUGCCUACAGGCAUUCCUUUGCACUCUGGGUGUAGCCCUCAGUGCUGGGCUUACAAAGAAGACGACACAAAAGCAACCAUGAAAAGAUCUUGGAAGCAGAGGGAUCUGCAGAAGUGCUUGCAACACUUUCAGCCUUAACCAGCAUCAGAGACAAAAAUCCUUUCUGGAAUGAGUCUUCUGCCAGCCUAACAAGCAUAGCAAGAAGAUAUAGCCCCACAACCACUUUAUGCACAAAGUUAGAAGCAUAAAAUCUCAUGGAAGGAGACCGAUUAUCUACAGAAGAGGUUGUCUUGCCAUUUCUCUCAUGUUAGAGGUAAACCUCAGGUUCUCCUCCUGCCUUUUGCUAAGUAUAUGUCUUGAUGACAAGCCUUCUGCUGAUGAGCUGUGUUUCUGGACCGAUCAUGGUAGAAGUCAAUUAACGUGUCCCUCACUUGGGGUUUCUCAAGGCUGCACUGAUGAGGAAACUGAAACAGAAAAUCCAGAGUAAAUUCCACCAGGCCACACAGCAAGGUCUGAUAGAGCCAGGAGAGACUUUAUGAAAUCCAGACUCUCACACUAAUGCUCUAUCAGCUAGACCUCCAUGUGAGUCUCCCCAAUGUAGGUAGGAAGUGCUUUCCCUAAAAUGCUCAUAAAGCAAAUCAGAGCAAUGCUGCAUUCCAUGUGAUUUCUAAUUUGAAAUGCAAACAAUUGCCAAUUUGUUUGACUUGUAUUUAUAAUUAUUUCCUUGUGAAUUACUCAUCACUAAAUGCUUUAUAAAUAUUUUCUCUUUUUUUCCUCAAUGUCUAUGGAAUGAUCACAGCAUAGAAAAUGUUGGCUUUCAAGGAUUUAUUAAUAUCUCCUUUUGAAAUAACAUGUAUUUGUAAGACAGAAUAAAAUCACUUUAAAGAAACAAA